UUUAAACACAUCUAUAAGUUCAAUUUUGAUCGUCCGUCUAAUAUGAUUUAGUAUUUUUAUUGUUAUUAGAUGAUAAAACAUGAAUACUAAUAUAUAUAAGUGACUUAUGUUUUUUAUUUUUUCAAAAAAAUUCAAAUAAAACGGAUUAUUAAAAUUGGUUUACAUGGUUACGCUUAAA
rnacentral:pre_miRNA from 1 species